rnacentral:rRNA from 1 species
CCCCGAGACGAUCCGUAACUGUCGACGGAUAUCGUCACACGGAUGCAACCGUUCCUAUCUCGGGAGGCGCAGUGGGAAAUUUGCAAUGGGCGCAACGCUAUCAGCCAUGCCGGUGGUGAGAGAGGCCUUCGAGUGAAAACCCUUAAGUAAGAAGAAAGCAGUAAUUAAUACUUUCUUCUUUGACGUUCCUACAAAAAAGCCCCGGCUAAUUUCGCCAGCAACCGGGGUAAAACGGGGGGGCAAGCUUAUAUGGAAAUAUGGGGGGAAAAGGCCGGCAUGGGUUGUUAAGUGAAAUGGAAAAUCCCCGGGCUACCCGGGAAAUUGCAUCGACUGGGCAGGUAAGAUUCUGGAGGGGGGGGUAGAAUUCCAGGGGUGGCGGUGAAAGGGGUGGUAUUCGGGGGGACUCCCGUGGGGGAGGCCGGCCCCCGGAAUGAAGAUUACACUUCAGGUGCGAAGGGGUGGGGACCAACCAGAAUAGAUUACCUUGUUGUUCCAGCCGGUAAACGAGUUCGAUAUGGAGGUGGUGCCCUGAGGUUGUGGCGGCCGAGCUUACGCCGUAAAUUGGCCCGCUGGGGAAUACCGCCCCCAAGUUUAAAAUUCAAAUAAAUGGCGGGGGGCCCCCCCAAGCGGGGGGCCAUUGGGUUUAUUUGGAGCCAACGGGAAGACCCUUACCUACUUUUACCAUCCAGAGAACUUCCCAGAGAGGAUUUGGUCCUUUGGGGAAUUUUAAACCAGGUGUGCCAGGGCGUUGUUCAGUUGGUUUUGUGAAAUGUUGGGUUAAUUCCCGCAACGAGCCCACCCUUUUCCUUUGUUUCCCACCGGUUCGGCCGGGCACUCAAAGGAGACUGCCAGUGAUAAACCGGAGGAAGGUGGGGAUGACGUCAAGUCAUCAUGGCCCUUACGACUAGGGCUACACACGUGCUACAAUGGCGUAUACAAAGAGAAGCCACCUCGCGAGAGCAAGCGGACCUCACAAAGUACGUCGUAGUCCGGAUUGCAGUCUGCAACUCGACUCCAUGAAGUCGGAAUCGCUAGUAAUCGUAGAUCAGAAUGUCUACGGUGAAUACGUUCCCGGGCCUUGUACACACCGCCCGUCACACCAUGGGAGUGGGUGCACAAAGAAGUAGGUAGUCUAACCUUCGGAGACUGCUACCUAGAGUGAUCCGACCGC